AAGAAGAAGAAGAAGUCAGUUCGGCUCCAUGUUUACGGAAACCAGGUCGGAGGCUCCUCAAUGGAUGGAAGCUGCUCUAUCCGUCCGCUCUUACGUUAACAUUCAAAGUGUUUUAUUUUAAUUAUUUUCGCAGUGUUAGUCUCCUGUUGUAGACAGGCUUAGUCUUCAUCAUGUGGGACCAUGAAAUCAGAGCCAUGGCCUCCUCCCACGCCAUCAUCGCCGCCUCCGUCUUCAUGGCGACCGUCCUACCGGCGGUGCUGCUGCCGGGCUUCUCGGUCUACGGCUCGCACCUGCUGUGGCUCUACUCGGUGUCCGGAGCCGUGACCGCGGUCAGUGUCGCCGUCUUCUGGCUGCUCGGCAUCACACCGCCCACCAAGAAGCACACGCUGGGCUACAAGCUGUCCAGGCUGUUUCGUUCCUGCCUGUAUUUCUUCCUGUCUUGCCUGUUCUUCCACACUGUGGUUGUUCUAUAUGGAGCACCGCUGAUUGAAUCUGCCUUGGAGACGUUCUCUCUUGCUGUGCUGCUGACCUCGCUAACCACACUGAGAUGUCUCUGCGUCCUCGGGCCCAACGUCCAGGCCUGGAUACGUGUGUUCAGUCGUCACGGAGCUAUGUCUGUGUGGGACACCUGUCUGCAGAUCACAGUGGCCUGCACAGUGGUAGGAGCCUGGAUGGGAGCAUUUCCAAUACCUCUGGACUGGGACAGGCCUUGGCAGGGAUGGAGCCUAUCCUGCUGUAUCUUGCUGUGUUCGUUGAAGAGCUUUUCAGAAAACACAAUUUACAAGUGCUCUUGACUGCCUUUGAGAAGAAAGCACUGCAAGGUAGCUAAAAGCUGCAAAAAUAUAGAUCUGAACUGGUAGGUGGUUUAAGGUGAGUACAUUUUUUCAUUGCUCUGAACGCAAAGAUUUUAUAAUGUAUUUUCCGAGAAAGUCGCAAAUUAAACCUUUUGUCUCUUUACAAUAUCAGUGAAAUUUAUUCUGCAAAUGUAAAAGCUUGAUACACAUUAAGUUGUUGCACUACAUCCCUGAUAAACACUUCUUUAGAUGCUGCCAUGCAAAGAAAUGUGACAGACAGGCCAUGCUAUGGACUGUAUUGUUGGUCAUUCAGGUCAUCACUUUGGUUUAGACUGAAAUGUCUCAGCAACUGUUGGAUUUGUUGCCAUGACAGUUUGUACAAAUACUGAUAAUCCCCAGAGGAUGAAUCAUAUGACUGGCAAGAUUGUAGUGGUACGAUAAAGUGAAAGUUUCAUCCAUCCAUCCAUUUGCUUUAUUCUGCAGAGAAAGCCAAUAGCAGGGUGCAACCUAAGCAGGUCACCAGUCCAUUAAGGGGUAGCUGAAAACCUCUCUUCAGUAAAAUAGUUGAACAUUUAAUGCAAUAAUUGUCAAAACAUUUUAUACAGAUUGAAUAAAUGUCCACUUAGACUAGAGGAUUACUUUAUUAGAUGUCUGUGCUUCAAGUUCAUUGUCACUUUAACCUCACAAAACACAUCUCUGGCUCAAGCUUGAGGUCAAGAGUUCUAAUUAUGACAAACGUUUGCACAAGUGUCUAAUAUGUUAAAAUGAUGAAUUGAUAACACUUUAUAUCCAAAAGGUCAGAGGUCAACUUCAAUUUGAUAUCUUUGUGUUCUGCAUGAACACUUCUCUGGCCUUUAUUGAAUGGAUAACUCAGCAACAGAAGAGGACAUUUGGACCAUAUUUCAGUUUUGAUUAGAUAAAUCGAUAAAGAGAAUCCUGCAGCGGAGGAAAUCAGUGCUCCCCAUCUACACCAGGCAGGAUCAUGGAGGACCUUCAGCACUCCAACAACGCUUUACCUGCUGCCUGCACAACAUCAAGGAGGCAAGAGCAGAGCAUGCUGGCUGAAGGCAAGAUCAUCACACAACAGGCAGCAAAUAAAAUCAGCAUCUCUGCAGAAAGGCUGCGCGCGUAUCUGGCGGAGCGCACCUUGAGUUCGUGGUAGCAUUGAACGAAACUGUGGUAGAUGAAGGUGAUGGGCAGAGCCAGGAGCACGAUGCCGCUCACCACGCACAUCCCGCCGAGCACUCGCCCCCCAAUAGUCACCGGAUACACAUCUCCGUACCCCACCGUCGUCAUGGAGAUGAUGACCCACCAGGCAGCGGCCGGGAUGCUGGCGUAGUCGUGGUUCUGCGUGCCCAAGUCCAAGCCGUGCUCCAGGAGCUGGGCCAGAGCGCUGUAUAUCGCCAUGGCAACGCACACAAACACCAUCAGCAUCACCAUCUCCCGGUAACAGCGCCGGAGCGUCAGGCCCAGAGUCUGCAGGCCCAGGAAGUGUCUGGCCAGCUUCAUGAGCCAGAACACCCGCAUCAUCCGCAGCACCCGCAGGAUCACGCCGGCGACCCCGAGCCCGGCGCCAGGCAUCCCCGCCCGGGCCAUCGCCAUGGUGACAUAGUAGGGGGUGAUGGCGAUCACGUCGAUGAUGUUGAGCGGCCUGCGGAGGAACUCCCACUUGUCUUUGGCCACCAGAAAGCGCACUAUGCACUCAGCUGUGAACCAGCCAAUGCACACUGCCUCCACGAUCCUACAGAGCAGAGAGGAGAGGAGGGGAACAAUGAGUUGAACACAGUGUAAACAGGAAAUGGCAGAGGAGCUACACGGAGAUAUGGAUGACAUGAGAUACUGCUGGACAAUCAGUAAAUGGGAGGAAAUAAGGAAGCAAAGCAGGGGGUGAAGUAAAUGAUGGGAAAUGCAAGUAAACAAAGACAAGAGGACAGAUGCGCAGAAGGGACAGUGAAGUGUCGGGAAACGGAGGGGGGGAUUAAAACCCUUCAAAGAGAUGCCACUCGAUUACCCCAUUGAUUAGCACACAAUCAAACCGGGUUAGAGAGAGGUGAGGCCAAGCAAAUGCCACAGAGCCUGAAGGGCAACAAUCAGCAUAAUUAAACCAAACCAAAUCGUGGAGCAGCUGAUAGAACUGUAUCAUCCACCGGCAUGAGACUAAAUAGGAAUCCUGUUGACCCUGAUGAAAACUACUUUCAGCUGAUUACCUAACCACUGCAACCGAUCCAAAACUCUAAACUGUAUCCAGCCUGAGUGAACAUAACCUAACCUUAUAUAGAGAGUGACUGAGGCCAGAAAAAUGCAGAAGAGAGAGAUGCACUUUUUCACCCUGCAUGCACAAACUUCAGUCCAACUAACCGUCCAAGAGGUGACUCAGACAGAAGCUGAUCCCUGAUAGUGGCCUAAUUUCUUUUUGUUUGCUUACAUUAAUACAUAAUCCCUCAGUACACAUUCUACUUUCACCUCAUCAACCAGACAAAUAGCAUGAAUGCAGCAUUAUCUGAUGUGUUUGUCCUUCUUGUGCACUGUGCAAUAUACACUAACCAGUAAAGAUAUAUAUCAGCUGCGAGGAGGAGGGGAAGAAGGAGGAAGAUAGAGCAACACCUCACUUUUUAGACACUAUGGAAUGAUCAUUGAUUUAGCUGUCCUGGGGGCUUGUCUGACUGUCAUGGAGGAUCCUAAGGUUUAAUGUAUUGGUUGAAACUUGCCAGUUCGCUUAUUGACUUCGGCAGCGUCAUUAAAUCACAGUGACAAAUUCCCUUUCCACCUAAUGCGUAGAUGUUUUGAAUAUCCUGCUUCAAAAUCAUUCGUCAUUUUUUAAAUCUUUUCAUAGUGAACAACGAGAUAUUAGCACUCAAAGAGCUGGAGUAUAAAAAAUGCCUCAAUGCGGCAACUUCCUGGAUCAUAAAUGUCUAGUACGCAGUGAGUUUGACCGCUGCCUUGAACGCAAGCAGCCGCUCAUAUGAAAUCCUCAAGUAUUUAUGAGUGUGAUUAUUUAUUUAUGGAGUGUUUGUAAUGACAGAAAUCUAUCCUUUACGCCGCCCAGCCUGUUGAACUCACUUUUACGCACAGGAUUUCAGAGCACCAUGUCACUUUUAAGAUAUCCGCACACAUUGCGCCUAAACAUUUGGCAGCUUUUUCAUGAGGGGGGCCUUUUUUUCCUUGAACUUUACUGACUCUUGACCACCGCCUACCUGUGCUCCUCCACAGUGUUUCUUUUGGCUGUAUCCCAAUCCGGCAGCGUGCUGGCGCACAGCAUUAUCAUAGAAACGAUGACAAAGAUCACGGACACUGAAGCCAAAAGCUGCGCUGCAAGGGAAGAGCUGGGCUCCUCAAAUGUUUUGCGCAUCAUCUCUAGCCAUCUAGCGCGACCGGUGAGCGCAGUCCGCGGCACCGACUCCUCCGGGCUCUGAGACUCGUCCGCGGACACCCUAAUGUCCCCCUCGGACAGACUGUCCAGUCCGAUGUCAGACAUCCUGUCGUCCAGGCGCUUCUGGCAGCAGGAGUCCAAGUGCGCGCUCUCCAGUCCCCAGUAGAGCAUCUCAGUGUAGAAGGACAGCUCACACACUCCGGGAACAAACCGGAGUUUACCGGAGCGCACGUAGAGCAUAAUGAACACGAAAGCCUGUGCGUGGCGAUCGAAGAAAAACUCAUUCCGGUCCCGGUCGUAGUCGUCGCACAGUUCAAGAACCUCUUUCUCGGUUGCGCAGGCAUGCAGGCGGCUGACGCGCCGGAGAGGGAAAUCCCUGAUCACCUCACGGGUGAAGGCGUACCGGGUUCCCCCUACGUUGAGCACGCAGAUGCUCUUCCCGAACUUCAUCUUACCAACCUGUGCCCUGUUAAAACUCCCCUUCACAGUCCAUCUCUCUCUGCCAUCACAGGAGUUUUGCGCAGCUGGGGAGCGGACGGUCUCCCCCUGCCGCCCCCGGGGCGUGGUUCGCUUUGAGUGGAGGUGGCCCUGCGCUGAGGUCCGUGGCUGCUGGAAAACUCUUCCCUUCUGUCCCUCACUCUCUGCUCUCCCUGUGUAGCCUGUGGAGAGACUCUCCACCCCAGUCAGGGCGAGCCAAUCCCAUCAAUGAUGUCACAUGCGCACAGACGCACGCAGUGAAGGAGGAAAAACUCCAACAAGAACAGUGUGGAGCGUAAUUUACGCACGAUUAUCUCCAAAGUGGAUUCUGCUUCUUGCUGCGAAACAAUGGAAAUACUCUCAUGAGUGUGAUGGAAAUUGUAUAUUUUAGUGGUUUACAAUAUUUUACUGCAGACAAUAGGCAUGCUAUUAGUUUGCAUACUUUCAUAUCGGCACAAUCCUUUUUACUGAAUGGCACUUGGACGCAAUGGCUGUCUUAAAUGUGCAUUUUAAUCUUAACUAUUUUUAUCUUGUCAUAUUGCAUGCUUUGGAUCUCAUUUGUUUGAAUUUUUCAUUGUCUUGUAGUAAAGUAAAGAUGCCAUGCAAAUAAAGUUACUGCACAUUAUCUGUGUGCUCCCUGA